UUAAGCGACUAAGCGUACACGGUGGAUGCCCUGGCAGUCAGAGGCGAUGAAGGGCGUGCUAAUCUGCGAUAAGCGCCGGUAAGGUGAUAUGAACCGUUAUAACCGGCGAUACCCGAAUGGGGAAACCCAGUGUGAUUCGUCACACUAUCAUUAACUGAAUCCAUAGGUUAAUGAGGCGAACCGGGGGAACUGAAACAUCUAAGUACCCCGAGGAAAAGAAAUCAACCGAGAUUCCCCCAGUAGCGGCGAGCGAACGGGGAGGAGCCCAGAGCCUGAAUCAGCAUGUGUGUUAGUGGAAGCGUCUGGAAAGGUGCGCGAUACAGGGUGACAGCCCCGUACACAAAAGCGCAUGUGCUGUGAGCUCGAUGAGUAGGGCGGGACACGUGGUAUCCUGUCUGAAUAUGGGGGGACCAUCCUCCAAGGCUAAAUACUCCUGACUGACCGAUAGUGAACCAGUACCGUGAGGGAAAGGCGAAAAGAACCCCGGCGAGGGGAGUGAAAAAGAACCUGAAACCGUGUACGUACAAGCAGUGGGAGCACCCUUCGGGGUGUGACUGCGUACCUUUUGUAUAAUGGGUCAGCGACUUAUAUUCUGUAGCAAGGUUAACCGUAUAGGGGAGCCGGAGGGAAACCGAGUCUUAACCGGGCGUUAAGUUGCAGGGUAUAGACCCGAAACCCGGUGAUCUAGCCAUGGGCAGGUUGAAGGUUGGGUAACACUAACUGGAGGACCGAACCGACUAAUGUUGAAAAAUUAGCGGAUGACCUGUGGCUGGGGGUGAAAGGCCAAUCAAACCGGGAGAUAGCUGGUUCUCCCCGAAAGCUAUUUAGGUAGCGCCUCGUGAAUUCAUCUCCGGGGGUAGAGCACUGUUUCGGCUAGGGGGCCAUCCCGGCUUACCAACCCGAUGCAAACUGCGAAUACCGGAGAAUGUUAUCACGGGAGACACACGGCGGGUGCUAACGUCCGUCGUGAAGAGGGAAACAACCCAGACCGCCAGCUAAGGUCCCAAAGUCAUGGUUAAGUGGGAAACGAUGUGGGAAGGCCCAGACAGCCAGGAUGUUGGCUUAGAAGCAGCCAUCAUUUAAAGAAAGCGUAAUAGCUCACUGGUCGAGUCGGCCUGCGCGGAAGAUGUAACGGGGCUAAACCAUGCACCGAAGCUGCGGCAGCGAACGUAUCACCCAAGACAACUUUACGGAGUUGACGAUUGACGGAGCGAAGCGACGUCAAAGCGUUCAUUAAAGUCGAGUUGGCUUAGGGAUACGUUCGUUGGGUAGGGGAGCGUUCUGUAAGCCUGUGAAGGUGUGUCGUGAGGCAUGCUGGAGGUAUCAGAAGUGCGAAUGCUGACAUAAGUAACGAUAAAGCGGGUGAAAAGCCCGCUCGCCGGAAGACCAAGGGUUCCUGUCCAACGUUAAUCGGGGCAGGGUGAGUCGACCCCUAAGGCGAGGCCGAAAGGCGUAGUCGAUGGGAAACGGGUUAAUAUUCCCGUACUUGGUGUUACUGCGAAGGGGGGACGGAGAAGGCUAUGUUGGCCGGGCGACGGUUGUCCCGGGUUUAAGCGUGUAGGUGUGUGUUCCAGGUAAAUCCGGUUCACUUUAACACUGAGGCGUGACGACGAGGCACUACGGUGCUGAAGCAACAAAUGCCCUGCUUCCAGGAAAAGCCUCUAAGCAUCAGGUAACACGAAAUCGUACCCCAAACCGACACAGGUGGUCAGGUAGAGAAUACCAAGGCGCUUGAGAGAACUCGGGUGAAGGAACUAGGCAAAAUGGUGCCGUAACUUCGGGAGAAGGCACGCUGACACGUAGGUGAAGUGAUUUACUCAUGGAGCUGAAGUCAGUCGAAGAUACCAGCUGGCUGCAACUGUUUAUUAAAAACACAGCACUGUGCAAACACGAAAGUGGACGUAUACGGUGUGACGCCUGCCCGGUGCCGGAAGGUUAAUUGAUGGGUCAGCGCAAGCGAAGCUCCUGAUCGAAGCCCCGGUAAACGGCGGCCGUAACUAUAACGGUCCUAAGGUAGCGAAAUUCCUUGUCGGGUAAGUUCCGACCUGCACGAAUGGCGUAAUGAUGGCCAGGCUGUCUCCACCCGAGACUCAGUGAAAUUGAACUCGCUGUGAAGAUGCAGUGUACCCGCGGCAAGACGGAAAGACCCGUGAACCUUUACUAUAGCUUGACACUGAACAUUGAGCCUUGAUGUGUAGGAUAGGUGGGAGGCUUUGAAGUGUGGACGCCAGUCUGCAUGGAGCCGACCUUGAAAUACCACCCUUUAAUGUUUGAUGUUCUAACGUGGACCCGUAAUCCGGGUUGCGGACAGUGUCUGGUGGGUUAGUUUGACUGGGGCGGUCUCCUCCUAAAGAGUAACGGAGGAGCACGAAGGUUGGCUAAUCCUGGUCGGACAUCAGGAGGUUAGUGCAAUGGCAUAAGCCAGCUUGACUGCGAGCGUGACGGCGCGAGCAGGUGCGAAAGCAGGUCAUAGUGAUCCGGUGGUUCUGAAUGGAAAGGGCCAUCGCUCAACGGAUAAAAGGUACUCCGGGGAUAACAGGCUGAUACCGCCCAAGAGUUCAUAUCGACGGCGGUGUUUGGCACCUCGAUGUCGGCUCAUCACAUCCUGGGGCUGAAGUAGGUCCCAAGGGUAUGGCUGUUCGCCAUUUAAAGUGGUACGCGAGCUGGGUUUAGAACGUCGUGAGACAGUUCGGUCCCUAUCUGCCGUGGGCGCUGGAGAACUGAGGGGGGCUGCUCCUAGUACGAGAGGACCGGAGUGGACGCAUCACUGGUGUUCGGGUUGUCAUGCCAAUGGCACUGCCCGGUAGCUAAAUGCGGAAGAGAUAAGUGCUGAAAGCAUCUAAGCACGAAACUUGCCCCGAGAUGAGUUCUCCCUGAGACUUAGAGUCUCCUGAAGGAACGUUGAAGACGACGACGUUGAUAGGCCGGGUGUGUAAGCGCAGCGAUGCGUUGAGCUAACCGGUACUAAUGAACCGUGAGGCUUAACCUU
rnacentral:rRNA from 1 species